GCUUCGGAGAGUUUGAUCCUGGCUCAGGAUGAACGCUGGCGGCGUGCCUAAUACAUGCAAGUCGAGCGAACUGAUUAGAAGCUUGCUUCUAUGACGUUAGCGGCGGACGGGUGAGUAACACGUGGGCAACCUGCCUGUAAGACUGGGAUAACUUCGGGAAACCGAAGCUAAUACCGGAUAGGAUCUUCUCC
rnacentral:rRNA from 1 species